AUUGAACGCUGGCGGCAGGCCUAACACAUGCAAGUCGAGCGGAUGAAGGGAGCUUGCUCCUGGAUUCAGCGGCGGACGGGUGAGUAAUGCCUAGGAAUCCGCCUGGUAGUGGGGGAUAACGUCCGGAAACGGGCGCUAAUACCGCAUACGUCCUGAGGGAGAAAGUGGGGGAUCUUCGGACCUCACGCUAUCAGAUGAGCCUAGGUCGGAUUAGCUAGUUGGUGGGGUAAAGGCCUACCAAGGCGACGAUCCGUAACUGGUCUGAGAGGAUGAUCAGUCACAUGGAAACGGAGACACGGUCCGGACCCCAAGGGGAGGCGGCAGGGGGAAAUUUGGAACAAGGGGCAAAGGCCUGACCCAGCCGUGCCGGGUGGGGAAAGAAGGUGUUGGGUUUAUAAAACUCUUUAAGUUGGGGGAAAGGAAAAUAAGUUAAUCCCUUGUUGUUUUGAGUUACCAAAAAAAAAAACCCCGGACAACUUCGGUC
rnacentral:rRNA from 1 species